rnacentral:rRNA from 1 species
AGAGUUUGAUCCUGGCUCAGAACGAACGCUGGCGGCGUGGAUAAGACAUGCAAGUCGAACGCUCAUUGCCGGGUAGCAAUAUUCGGCGGUGGGAGUGGCGCAAGGGUGCGUAACACGUGGGUAAUUUGCCGCGAAGUUGGGGAUAACUCGCUGAAAGGCGAGCUAAUACCGGAUGUGGUAGGCUGGUGGCAUCAUUGGCUUGACCAAAGUUGGGGACCCGCAAGGGCCUGACGCUUCGCGAUAAGCCCGCGGCCUAUCAGCUAGUUGGUGAGGUAACGGCUCACCAAGGCAAAGACGGGUAGCUGGUCUGAGAGGACGACCAGCCACACUGGAACUGAGAGACGGUCCAGACACCUACGGGUGGCAGCAGUCGAGAAUUUUUCACAAUGGGCGCAAGCCUGAUGGAGCGACGCCGCGUGGGGGAUGAAGGGCUUCGGCUCGUAAACCCCUGUCAUUUGCGAACAAACCCUCACAUUGAACAGGUGUGAGGUUGAUUGUAGUGAAAGAGGAAGGGACGGCUAACUCUGUGCCAGCAGCCGCGGUAAUACAGAGGUCCCGAGCGUUGUUCGGAUUCACUGGGCGUAAAGGGUGCGUAGGUGGUGGGGUAAGUCUCGUGUGAAAGCUCGCAGCUUAACUGCGAAAAGUCACGGGAUACUAUUCCGCUGGAGGCUUGGAGGGGGGACUGGAAUACUUGGUGUAGCAGUGAAAUGCGUAGAUAUCAAGUGGAACACCAGUGGCGAAGGCGAGUCCCUGGACAAGACCUGACACUGAGGCACGAAAGCCAGGGGAGCAAACAGGAUUAGAUACCCUGGUAGUCC